rnacentral:rRNA from 1 species
UGACGUUAGGAAAGCGAGCGGCGGAUGGGUGAGUAACACGUGGGGAACCUGCCCCAUAGUCUGGGAUACCACUUGGAAACAGGUGCUAAUACCGGAUAAGAAAGCAGAUCGCAUGAUCAGCUUUUAAAAGGCGGCGUAAGCUGUCGCUAUGGGAUGGCCCCGCGGUGCAUUAGCUAGUUGGUAAGGUAAAGGCUUACCAAGGCGAUGAUGCAUAGCCGAGUUGAGAGACUGAUCGGCCACAUUGGGACUGAGACACAGCCCAAACUCCUACGGGAGGCAGCAGUAGGGAAUCUUCCACAAUGGACGCAAGUCUGAUGGAGCAACGCCGCGUGAGUGAAGAAGGUUUUCGGAUCGUAAAGCUCUGUUGUUGGUGAAGAAGGAUAGAGGUAGUAACUGGCCUUUAUUUGACGGUAAUCAACCAGAAAGUCACGGCUAACUACGUGCCAGCAGCCGCGGUAAUACGUAGGUGGCAAGCGUUGUCCGGAUUUAUUGGGCGUAAAGCGAGCGCAGGCGGAAGAAUAAGUCUGAUGUGAAAGCCCUCGGCUUAACCGAGGAACUGCAUCGGAAACUGUUUUUCUUGAGUGCAGAAUAGGAGAGUGGAACUCCAUGUGUAGCGGUGGAAUGC